AUUAAAAUAAAUAUAGUAAUAAUAAUUUAUAAUAAAACUUAUUUACAACGGCGGCGUUUUAUUUUACUAGAGGAACUUGUUUAUUAAUCGACAACCCCCGAUAAAUUUUACUUUAAAACAAAAUUUAUAUACCGCCAUCAAAAGAACUAAUUAAUAAUAUUAUUCUAAAUAAAUUAUAAAAUGUUAGGUCAAGGUGUAAUUAAUAUUAAAGAAUAAAUGAGUUACACUAAAAUUUAAUUAAAGAACAUUAUUUUUUAAUAUUUUUAAGAAAUAGGAUUUAGAAGUAAAUUCUUAAUAAUAUUUAAAUUUGAAUAAAAUAAUAAAUGUGCACAUAUCGCCCGUCACCCUUAUCAUAAGAUAAGGU
rnacentral:rRNA from 1 species